AGUGGGGGAUCCUGAAGUAGGAAGAGGAUUUUUAACCCUAACAUAAGAGUUUACGUUUCUUUCCCAUUG
rnacentral:tRNA from 1 species